rnacentral:rRNA from 1 species
UAAUACGGAGGGUGCAAGCGUUAUUCGGAAUUAUUGGGCGUAAAGAGCGCGUAGGUGGUCUCUUAAGUCAGAUGUGAAAGCCUUUCGCUUAACGGAAGAAGUGCAUUUGAAACUAAGAGACUUGAGUAUGGGAGAGGGAAGUGGAAUUCCUGGUGUAGAGGUGAAAUUCGUAGAUAUCAGGAGGAACACCGGUGGCGAAGGCGACUUCCUGGACCAAUACUGACGCUGAGGCGCGAAGGCGUGGGGAGCAAACAGGAUUCGAUACCCUGGUAGUCCACGCAGUAAACGGUGAACACUAGGUGUAGCGGGUAUUGACCCCUGCUGUGCCGCAGUUAACGCAUUAAGUGUUCCGCCUGGGGAGUACGACCGCAAGGUUA